AAGACUGUAUUUUCAGGGAUCAUUUCUAUAAUCUGUUACUGCUGAAGUGUUCUGAGUGUGGAAGCUCCUGGUAACCUUGAAGAUGAGCACAGUGUUUCCUCCUGAGCACAGGUUGGCCUGUGGUGUUGCCUGGUGGCAGCUGCCUCUUCUCCUCCAUAAUUGGGUUUCCUUUCUUUUGGGAAAAAGAGAGAGAACACAGGCAGAGCAGU